rnacentral:rRNA from 1 species
UACGAAGGGGGCUAGCGUUGUUCGGAAUCACUGGGCGUAAAGGGCGCGUAGGCGGCUUUAUAAGUCGGGGGUGAAAGCCUGUGGCUCAACCACAGAAUUGCCUUCGAUACUGUAGAGCUUGAGACCGGAAGAGGUAAGUGGAACUGCGAGUGUAGAGGUGAAAUUCGUAGAUAUUCGCAAGAACACCAGUGGCGAAGGCGGCUUACUGGUCCGGUU